AUGCAAGUCGACGAUGAACCACUUCGGUGGGGAUUAGUGGCGAACGGGUGAGUAACACGUGGGCAAUCUGCCCUGCACUCUGGGACAAGCCCUGGAAACGGGGUCUAAUACCGGAUACUGAUCCUCGCAGGCAUCUGCGAGGUUCGAAAGCUCCGGCGGUGCAGGAUGAGCCCGCGGCCUAUCAGCUAGUUGGUGAGGUAACGGCUCACCAAGGCGACGACGGGUAGCCGGCCUGAGAGGGCGACCGGCCACACUGGGACUGAGACACGGCCCAGACUCCUACGGGAGGCAGCAGUGGGGAAUAUUGCACAAUGGGCGAAAGCCUGAUGCAGCGACGCCGCGUGAGGGAUGACGGCCUUCGGGUUGUAAACCUCUUUCAGCAGGGAAGAAGCGAAAGUGACGGUACCUGCAGAAGAAGCGCCGGCUAACUACGUGCCAGCAGCCGCGGUAAUACGUAGGGCGCAAGCGUUGUCCGGAAUUAUUGGGCGUAAAGAGCUCGUAGGCGGCUUGUCACGUCGGUUGUGAAAGCCCGGGGCUUAACCCCGGGUCUGCAGUCGAUACGGGCAGGCUAGAGUUCGGUAGGGGAGAUCGGAAUUCCUGGUGUAGCGUNAA
rnacentral:rRNA from 1 species